rnacentral:rRNA from 1 species
UGGCGGACGGGUGAGUAACGCGUGGAUAACCUGCCGUAUACAGGGGGAUAACACUUAGAAAUAGGUGCUAAUACCGCAUAAGCGCACGGUUCCGCAUGGAACAGUGUGAAAAACUCCGGUGGUAUACGAUGGAUCCGCGUCUGAUUAGCCAGUUGGCGGGGUAACGGCCCACCAAAGCGACGAUCAGUAGCCGGCCUGAGAGGGCGGACGGCCACACUGGGACUGAGACACGGCCCAGACUCCUACGGGAGGCAGCAG